CUACGGGGGGCUGCAGUAAGGAAUAUUGCGCAAUGGAGGCAACUCUGACGCAGCCAUGCCGCGUGCAGGAAGAAGGCCUUAUGGGUCGUAAACUGCUUUUAUUUAGGAAUAAACCCCCGAACGUGUUCGGGGCUGAAGGUACUGAAUGAAUAAGCACCGGCUAACUCCGUGCCAGCAGCCGCGGUAAUACGGAGGGUGCAAGCGUUAUCCGGAUUUAUUGGGUUUAAAGGGUGCGCAGGCGGGCUAUUAAGUCAGUGGUGAAAUCCCGGGGCUCAACUCCGGAACUGCCAUUGAUACUGAUAGUCUUGAGUUUGGUUGAAGUGGGCGGAAUGUAGCAUGUAGCGGUGAAAUGCAUAGAUAUGCUACAGAACACCAAUCGCGAAGGCAGCUCACUAAGCCAAAACUGACGCUCAUGCACGAAAGCGUGGGGAUCAAACAGGAUUAGAUACCCGUGUAGUC
rnacentral:rRNA from 1 species